rnacentral:rRNA from 2 species
CUGGCGGCGUGCUAAUACAUGCAAGUCGAACGAGUUCUCGUUGAUGAUCGGUGCUUGCACCGAGAUUCAACAUGGAACGAGUGGCGGACGGGUGAGUAACACGUGGGUAACCUGCCCUUAAGUGGGGGAUAACAUUUGGAAACAGAUGCUAAUACCGCAUAGAUCCAAGAACCGCAUGGUUCUUGGCUGAAAGAUGGCGUAAGCUAUCGCUUUUGGAUGGACCCGCGGCGUAUUAGCUAGUUGGUGAGGUAAUGGCUCACCAAGGCGAUGAUACGUAGCCGAACUGAGAGGUUGAUCGGCCACAUUGGGACUGAGACACGGCCCAAACUCCUACGGGAGGCAGCAGUAGGGAAUCUUCCACAAUGGACGCAAGUCUGAUGGAGCAACGCCGCGUGAGUGAAGAAGGCUUUCGGGUCGUAAAACUCUGUUGUUGGAGAAGAAUGGUCGGCAGAGUAACUGUUGUCGGCGUGACGGUAUCCAACCAGAAAGCCACGGCUAACUACGUGCCAGCAGCCGCGGUAAUACGUAGGUGGCAAGCGUUAUCCGGAUUUAUUGGGCGUAAAGCGAGCGCAGGCGGUUUUUUAAGUCUGAUGUGAAAGCCCUCGGCUUAACCGAGGAAGCGCAUCGGAAACUGGGAAACUUGAGUGCAGAAGAGGACAGUGGAACUCCAUGUGUAGCGGUGAAAUGCGUAGAUAUAUGGAAGAACACCAGUGGCGAAGGCGGCUGUCUGGUCUGUAACUGACGCUGAGGCUCGAAAGCAUGGGUAGCGAACAGGAUUAGAUACCCUGGUAGUCCAUGCCGUAAACGAUGAAUGCUAGGUGUUGGAGGGUUUCCGCCCUUCAGUGCCGCAGCUAACGCAUUAAGCAUUCCGCCUGGGGAGUACGACCGCAAGGUUGAAACUCAAAGGAAUUGACGGGGGCCCGCACAAGCGGUGGAGCAUGUGGUUUAAUUCGAAGCAACGCGAAGAACCUUACCAGGUCUUGACAUCUUUUGAUCACCUGAGAGAUCAGGUUUCCCCUUCGGGGGCAAAAUGACAGGUGGUGCAUGGUUGUCGUCAGCUCGUGUCGUGAGAUGUUGGGUUAAGUCCCGCAACGAGCGCAACCCUUAUGACUAGUUGCCAGCAUUUAGUUGGGCACUCUAGUAAGACUGCCGGUGACAAACCGGAGGAAGGUGGGGAUGACGUCAAAUCAUCAUGCCCCUUAUGACCUGGGCUACACACGUGCUACAAUGGAUGGUACAACGAGUUGCGAGACCGCGAGGUCAAGCUAAUCUCUUAAAGCCAUUCUCAGUUCGGACUGUAGGCUGCAACUCGCCUACACGAAGUCGGAAUCGCUAGUAAUCGCGGAUCAGCACGCCGCGGUGAAUACGUUCCCGGGCCUUGUACACACCGCCCGUCACACCAUGAGAGUUUGUAACACCCGAAGCCGGUGGCGUAACCCUUUUAGGGAGCGAGCCGUCUAAGGUGACAA